UAUAUACUCCCUCCAUCCCAAAAUUCUUGUCUUAGAUUUGUCUAGAUACGGAUGUAUCUAAUACUAAAACGUGACUUGAUACAUCCAUAUUUAGACAAAUUUAAGACAAGAAUUUUGGGACGGAGGGAGUAUAUC
rnacentral:pre_miRNA from 1 species